rnacentral:rRNA from 1 species
ACGAACGCUGGCGGCAUGCCUAACACAUGCAAGUCGAACGAGACCUUCGGGUCUAGUGGCGCACGGGUGCGUAACGCGUGGGAACCUGCCCUUAGGUUUGGAAUAACUCCCCGAAAGGGGUGCUAAUACCGGAUAAUGUCUUCGGACCAAAGAUUUAUCGCCUUUGGAUGGGCCCGCGUUGGAUUAGCUAGUUGGUAGGGUAAAAGCCUACCAAGGCGACGAUCCAUAGCUGGUCUGAGAGGAUGAUCAGCCACACUGGGACUGAGACACGGCCCAGACUCCUACGGGAGGCAGCAGUGGGGAAUAUUGGACAAUGGGCGAAAGCCUGAUCCAGCAAUGCCGCGUGAGUGAUGAAGGCCUUAGGGUUGUAAAGCUCUUUUACCCGGGAUGAUAAUGACAGUACCGGGAGAAUAAGCUCCGGCUAACUCCGUG